GAUGAACGCUGGCGGCGUGCCUAAUACAUGCAAGUCGAGCGAACUGAUGAGGAGCUUGCUCCUCUGACGUUAGCGGCGGACGGGUGAGUAACACGUGGAUAACCUACCUAUAAGACUGGGAUAACUUCGGGAAACCGGAGCUAAUACCGGAUAAUAUAUUGAACCGCAUGGUUCAAUAGUGAAAGACGGUUUUGCUGUCACUUAUAGAUGGAUCCGCGCCGCAUUAGCUAGUUGGUAAGGUAACGGCUUACCAAGGCAACGAUGCGUAGCCGACCUGAGAGGGGGAUCGGCCACACUGGAACUGAGACACGGUCCAGACUCCUACGGGAGGCAGCAGUAGGGAAUCUUCCGCAAUGGGCGAAAGCCUGACGGAGCAACGCCGCGUGAGUGAUGAAGGUCUUCGGAUCGUAAAACUCUGUUAUUAGGGAAGAACAAAUGUGUAAGUAACUAUGCACGUCUUGACGGUACCUAAUCAGAAAGCCACGGCUAACUACGUG
rnacentral:rRNA from 1 species